GGCUCAGGACGAACGCUGGCGGCGUGCUUAACACAUGCAAGUCGAACGGUGACCCAGGGCUUGCCCUGGUGAUCAGUGGCGAACGGGUGAGUAACACGUGGGCAACCUGCCCCUGACUUCGGGAUAACUCCUCGAAAGAGGAGCUAAUACCGGAUACGACCACUUCGGACAUCCGAUGGUGGUGGAAAGUUUUUCGGUCAGGGAUGGGCCCGCGGCCUAUCAGCUAGUUGGUGGGGUAAUGGCCUACCAAGGCGACGACGGGUAGCCGGCCUGAGAGGGCGACCGGCCACACUGGGACUGAGACACGGCCCAGACUCCUACGGGAGGCAGCAGUGGGGAAUAUUGCGCAAUGGGCGAAAGCCUGACGCAGCGACGCCGCGUGAGGGAUGAAGGCCUUCGGGUUGUAAACCUCUUUCAGCAGGGACGAAGCGAAAGUGACGGUACCUGCAGAAGAAGCACCGGCUAACUACGUG
rnacentral:rRNA from 1 species